CCCCUGUCACAACGGCUUCCUGGCGUGACGGGAUGAACCCAAUGGAGCA
rfam:Rhodobacteraceae bacterium EhC02 A5_Contig15, whole genome shotgun sequence.